rnacentral:rRNA from 1 species
CGAUGCCUAAGACAUGCAAGUCGAACGAAGUGGCCCAAUGAAGAGAGCGAGCUUGCUCAAUCUUGGAUUUGGAUUCCCACUUAGUGGCGCAAGGGUGAGUAACACGUGGGUAAUCUGCCUUCGAGUCUGGAAUAACAGUUAGAAAUGAUUGCUAAUGCCGGAUAAUAUGGAGAACGAUACGUCAUUCUUUAUUAAAAGGGGCCUUUAAAGCCUCGCUUGAAGAUGAGCCUGCGCCGUAUUAGCUAGUUGGUGGGGUAAAGGCCUACCAAGGCAACGAUGCGUAGCCGACCUGAGAGGGUGAUCGGCCACACUGGGACUGAGACACGGCCCAGACUCCUACGGGAGACAGCAGUUAGGAAUAUUCGUCAAUGGGGGAAACCCUGAACGAGCAAUGCCGCGUGAAGGAUGACGGUCCUAUGGAUUGUAAACUUCUGUUGUUAGGGAGGAACGACCUGUAUAGGAAAUGAUACAGGAGUGACGGUACCUUUCAAGAAAGCUCCGGCUAACUACGUGCCAGCCGCUGC